AAUCGUGCAUCUCUCCAACCUCUAAAUUUCACUUGCCAAGUAUGUAUAACAAUCCAUUAUGUAUAUGUAAGGAUGGUGAUUCAGCUGGUAUGAUCCAACAAUAUUGCAUGUAUAUUCCUGUCCAUGGUCUUAUCUCAUGAUGGCUAAUUUAGCAGGUUCAAUCUACUCAAGCAUGCAUGUCGGGCUCUCCCGAAGUCUUGAUCGAGUUCAUGUUCAACCUUUCAGUCUCAGUUUCCAUGUGCUAAUAUGUGAUAACACAUAUACUCCAUAAUGGUUGAUUUUGCAGAAAUGGGAAUAUGGCCCGUUCAAAGCACAGCGGGUGCUUAGAUCCAGUGUUCAUUGCGCCUGCAUGUCCACCUUCUCCUAGAAAGAUGACGCCAAGUAUCACCCAUCAGCCAGUCUUUUAAACCUGUGUAUGUAUAUGCAAACUUUUUUACAUCAGCCAGAUUUGUUCCCUCAAAUUGUCUGGCCGAUUAUUUACGUGAGGCCCUAGAAAACGAGCUGGUGAGAGCCAAGGGCUCCACAAGUUAGAAGUAGUGUUCUCAGUCACUUUCAUUGUUAGGUGAAAUAACCUGUGUACUUUGUUUAUUCAUUUUCAAAGAUUUAUCAACCUGGUGCAAAGUUUAGCUAGGCUAUGCAAAAUUGGGUUGCCAUAAAUAACUAAAGAGCAUGCCUAUUAUAUUAAGCACUAUAUCUUCUGUGUGGAAUAUUUAGAAUUUUAUUAUCCAAUAGGAUUAGAUAGGAAAACAGUGGAACUGGAGCCAUUCAAUCUAACAUGCAGGCAUGCAUAUAUAUAUCGAUAUGUCUCAAAGCAUGAAGGUCAGUUCACAUGUUGAGUCGUUCAUGAAGAUUUCAUUCCGAAUCUGGAGAACCUACGUCUAUACGCUGGACUAACUAAGUAACAUCCAGAUCUAUUCAUGUGAAUUUUAAUUUCCUGUAGAUAUUCUGCAUGACAUUAUAUCUUUAAAUUCUAACGAUAUAUAUAAUGUGCAAUAUUCACACUUUUCUUAUGAAAUAUGAGGACAUAGGGAAACACCAAAACUGAAGCCAAUCUAUGUGACGCGCACGCGUGCAGAUGAAACGUGAGCCUCUACUUCUGAAUGUAUGGAUUUAAUUUAUUUCGCUAAUGUUGGCGUUGUACCUGUGAUUAUGGCGGCCUAUGGUUGCAAACUUGCUGAGAAAGCAUUGUCAACAAUAUAAUGAAGGUGCAUGUUCCUUCAGCAGGUGAUUGUUUUAACGGGCAAAAAACUAACAGCGUCCAGAGACAUACUUAUAUGCACACAUCAGUUUUUGUAUGAUAAGUUGAUAACUUGAUGGAGACUUAUGUUUGUUGCACUUUUGUAUUAUUCAAAUUAAACAUAAAAAAUAUUAUGAUUAUAUGUUUAUGUAACCUCAGAUAGCUAGCCCGUGCAUGUGCACGGGUUGACGACUAGUAUAUAUAAUAUUUGGCCUCGUGAAGGAGAAAGUAUCGCUCAAUCUUGG